AUUGAACGCUGGCGGCAUGCCUUACACAUGCAAGUCGAACGGUAACAGGUCUUCGGAUGCUGACGAGUGGCGAACGGGUGAGUAAUACAUCGGAACGUGCCUAGUAGUGGGGGAUAACUACUCGAAAGAGUGGCUAAUACCGCAUGAGAUCUACGGAUGAAAGCAGGGGAUCGCAAGACCUUGUGCUACUAGAGCGGCCGAUGGCAGAUUAGGUAGUUGGUGGGAUAAAAGCUUACCAAGCCGACGAUCUGUAGCUGGUCUGAGAGGACGAUCAGGCACACUAGGACUGAGACACGGCCCAGACUCCUACGGGAGGCAGCAGUGGGGAAUUUUGGACAAUGGGCGAAAGCCUGAUCCAGCAAUGCCGCGUGCAGGAUGAAGGCCUUCGGGUUGUAAACUGCUUUUGUACGGAACGAAAAGCCCCGGGUUAAUACCCUGGGGUCAUGACGGUACCGUAAGAAUAAGCACCGGCUAACUACGUGCCAGCAGCCGCCGUAA
rnacentral:rRNA from 1 species